GGACAGGUGGCCGAGUGGUUAAGGCGCUACACUCAAGAUGACAUCAUCUUAAGUCAUACAAUGGCUUUGUAGUAUCGAAAGAUGCAUCGGUUCGAGUCCGGUCCUGUUCA